UCGAACCGGCGAAAUCUCAAGCNNNNNNNNNNNNNNNNNNNNNNNNNNNNNNNNNNNNNNNNNNNNNNNNNNNNNAUCUCAAGCUCGCGACGCCUUUGCCCCUCAAAUCGGCCUCCACGCGCGUUGAAUCUAGCCAAAAAUAGAGCGAAUACAUCACAAUAUGCAAAUGGGAACUACCCAAUCAAAAACAAUCGAAUUAUAGCAAGAACUUUGAAACUAGCAAAACCCGAGCCCCGGGCCCGCUUCUCAAAAAAUUACAAAACUUACCUUUUCAGAAUCCUCGUCUUGCCACGAGUCCAUACAUAUCAAGAACUCCCAAAUCCGAGCUCAAAUGACCUAUAAAAUCCCACUUUGGAGAUGUCAAAAACUCAAGCCCUAGUUUCUUCAAUUUCAUACCUAAAUUCAGAGAAUUAAUGGAUGAUUCUUUGAUUUAGUGAUGUAUUUAACUCAUAAAACCUACCUCCAAUCGAUUCCUAGUCGAAACCCUCUUAAUUCCUUGCCAAAAGCUCCCAAGCUUGCUCAAAAAUGGUGGAAAACAAACCUAAGUCGCAGAUGAAAUGUUUAAAUAUAAACUGAUCUGCCCAGCGAAAUCAUUUUAUGCGAUCGCUGCCCCUGGCUUACGAUCGCAGAGCACAAAUCUUGAGCCUCUAAUUUUUCUCUUAUGUGAUCGCACUCAACACCACGCAAUCGCAGUGCUCCUCUACCCUUCCUUACGCGAAUGCAGCCCGGCUAAUGCGAACGCGUACGCUAACCAAGCAGGGACCCAGACCCCCCUCUAUGCAAACACGAUCCUCCUCACGCGAACGCCAUGAACAACGAGCCACUGCUACACAAUCUCAUACAUACCCCUGUGAUCGCAAUGACCAAAAUUGGUCUGCACUGCCGCUGCAAUUUCUGCAACUCUUCAAGUCCAAAAAACUCCCGUUUAACCAUCUGAAAUCACCCGGGGGCCCCUGAGACCUCAACCAAAAAUACCAACCUACUCCAAAACAUCAUACGAACUUGUUCCAAUAACAAAAACACACACAACAACACAAAAAUUAUCAAAUUACCACGUAUUCAAGCCUAAAUUUUCUUAAAACAUCCGAAACUCAUAUUCGAUCAAAAAUCCGACCAAACGACGUCCGAAUGACCCGAAAAAUUACAAACAUAUCCAAAAUCACCUAAUGAUGCUAAUGCAACUCUCAGAAUUCCAUUCCGACCCUCGGAUCAAAAUCUCACCUACCAACUGGAAUCCGCCAAAAUUCAAACUUCGCUAAUUCAAGCCUAAUUCUACACUAGACCUCCAAAUUAAAUUCUGAUCUCUCCUAAGUCACAAAUCAUCUCCCGAAGCUAACUGAAUCAUUAGAAAUCACAUCUGAUCCCUCUAACCACGUAGUCAACUUUCGAUUUAUUUUUUCGAACUAGUCUUCUCUUUAAGAGACUAAUUGUUUUGUCCAACAAAACUCUGUCCGAAU
rnacentral:lncRNA from 1 species